GCCCGGGUGGCGGAAUUGGUAGACGCGCUAGCUUCAGGUGCUAGUUCCCCUUGUGGGAGUGAAGGUUCAAGUCCUUUCCCGGGCACCA
rnacentral:tRNA from 1 species